UCUUGGGUAGUUCAAUGGUAGAGCAUCUGGCUGUUAACCAGAAUGUUGGGGGUUCGAGUCCCUCCCCAAGAGCCA
rnacentral:tRNA from 1 species